CGCGCCACUGCACUCCAGCCUGGGCGACAGAGCGAGACUCUGUCUCAAAAAAGGGCAGUGUUUUUAUUAAUGAUUUCAUGGUGUCAAUUAUACAGCUAUAUAGAUACACACAUGUGUUUGUGUAUAUAGUGAGUUGAAUUGUCUCCCCUCAAAUGAUAUAUCCAUCCGGAACCUGUGACUAUGGCCUUAUUUGCAAAACAAACAAACAAACAAACAAAGUCUUGCCAAUGUUAUAAAAUUAAGGGUUUUGAAAUGAGGUUAUCUUGGAUUAUCCAUGUGGUCCCUAAAUCCAAUAAGUGUCCUUAUAAGACAAAGACAGACAAAGAUUUGACACACACAGAUGCACAGAGAAGGCCAUGUGAAGACAGAGGCAGAGAUUGGAGUGUUGCUGUCACAAACUACGGGACACUUGAAGCCACCAGAAGCUGGAGACGAGGAAGGGGCCUCCGUAGGGCCUCCAGAGGGAACACAGCCCUGCCAACACCUUGAGUUCAGACUUGGAGCUUCCGUGGCUGUGACUCUGUGAGAGAACCAUUUCCAAAUGUUUUGAGCCACCGAGCUUAUGGCGCUUUGUUCCUGCAGCCCUAGGAAACUCUGUGAGUGAAGGUAAUUGUGUGUUUCUGUAUCUAUCAGACUAGUCAACGUCAAUGUGACUCAGUGUAAUUUAACUUCACCGCCUCACAUCCUUGCUGUCUGACCUAAAGAUUAAAAAUUCUCUCAGAACUUCUCUAGCUCUUGCUUCUAUGUGGUAACUGCAUUGAAUUUUUUAGUACAUCCCAAAAAUUGAAAGAUACAUGGUAAGCCAUGUAUCUUUCCUGCCUGCCAGUUUGUCAUUUUUCACAUAAUAAAGCAAGGUCACUCAAAGGUAUUUUUUUCUUGUCUCGCUACUUGACACAUUCAACCAUGUUUAUAAGCUCAAAGAAAAGAGAUGGCCAGUUUGCUAAAAUGAAAAUAUCAUUCAAUCCUGAAGAUUUCAUUCUUCCAUAAAAAUUGUCCUAUGUAAAGAUGACUAAGUAUGAUUUCAGGCAUCACCUUUCAUACAAGUCUUCUUCCCUAAGACCUAUCCACUGCUCUUCUCCACUGUGGUUUUAAUAUUUUAAUGUUUCCAUAGCACUAGAUUAUGAGAUCCAUGAAAUCAAGUAUUGUGCCUCCCUGAGUCUCCAGGGUGCAGCCCUGGCCUUGGGACAUAACCACUGCUUAGUAAGUGCUUAUAAGAUAAAUCCUCAAAACCUUGAAAUGAAUUAAGUGCUUGUCCAUUAAAACAUCCCCCUACGUUGGGGGACUAAAUUCAGACUACUAUAUAGUUAGGAAGAGCACAAAUGCAAAUACAUGGGGUCAUAGGUAAUUUGUUUCUUCAAAGACCAUGUAGACUUCUCUUUGGCAAUUGCAAGGGAAAUUCUAUCAAUCAUAGUCCACACAUGGAUAUAAGCCAUAAGUAACUCUUUUCCAUGCUUGCUUAGCACAAAGCCUUAUAUACUCUAGAUUUGGGGUUAUGUUUUUUUUUUACAGUAAUAUAUGUAAAGCAAUGUCACAAACCUGAGCACCUCACGCAUGCAAUUUAAACACUGGAAACCAACUAUGUGGAGAGUAUAGCAAUGGUUUGACUCUGAGGUAAGAAGCACGGUGAAAGAACUGGAAAUAAACCCUGCAUCUGAGCUUUAUGAAGAAGCGAUUAUAAUCAAUACCAAAAUGAAAAAAAGAAACAUCAACAGCUACUGUGAACCAAGGUCUUCACAGUUUUGCUUCUUUCCACUAAUCUUCCGAAGAGGUUAUUUUGAGACGAUAUGUUCAAAACACUAUAAGCCAUUCUUCUCCAAGAAGUGGUGACAAUUACUUUGCUUCUUGCUUCCCACUCCUAAAAGGGAAAUUUAAUCAAGAUUGUCAGUUCUUACAAGAAAAAGGGAAAACGCACACACACAUUCAAGCUCUACUUCUAUAAUCAAAUAAAACCAUCAAGAAUUAAUCAAAACUUGACUCGAAGCCCUUCCAGAACUGCAAAGCUCACAUGGCAUCCCAGAGAUAGAUGAUACCAUGAUCUUUGAUGUACACAGUGGAGCAUUUGAUAAAAUGGUGAUGUUUUUCUGCCAUAAGUGGUAUAAUUACGCUAUGCAUCAUAUGCAUCCAUUUAAUAAUAUCCCUGUUCACAGUCAGCCAGGCAUUUCUCACAAGCUGGCAUCUUCACAGGCCACUUGUUCUGCUGAUUCCACUUUCUUCUGUAGCUGGGCAGGCUGCAGCCCCUGUUUUUUCCCUUACCAGGCAAACUAAUGAUCUAGUGCUUUCUUGCGUGUUGAGGUUAAUAGAUAACUAAUAUAUUUCAGCACAUUCAUUAUAGCCAGUUUUCCCCUAAGAAAAAAUUGCACAUUUGGGUCUUCUGCCUUGACAAAUGUGGUGCUUCAUCUUGAAAGUUGAUUAAAAUCAAUACCUCUGUAGAAAAUUACACGCAAAAUGUAUUAGUAUCCAGUAUAUUCUGAUAAGAAUGCUUCUCAUUCAUAACUCUGAUACCAACCCGCCCACCGCAAACAAAACAAAACAAAACAAAACAAAACAAAAAAUAAAAGAAACACACACACACAUGCUAAAACUGGAUGCAAGCACUCAUGGGAAUAACAGUGUGUUUUUAACCAACAAUAAAACUAAAAAUUACUCAUCAGUUAAACCAUGGCUCAUAAUUUAGGAGAAGUUACAUUUUGAAGUCCUGUUUUAUCUCCAAUUGAAAUUUCAGAAGCCUCCAGAAAUUCUAUGGUAUAAACUUUGCAAUUUUAAAAAUACAUCAUUUCAAAGCCAGCGGUCUGGAAGAAAAUUGCCUAUGCUAAUGAACAAAUAUAUAAUUUUCACUAAACCAUACAGCACACUUUCUUACAUCAACUUUUUUCAUCUCAUCUCCUGAUUCUCUCCCACAACCCAUGUGUUAACCACACUUACCUUUUAACUUUUCUCCUAAAAUAUUAAGCCUUUUCCAAACAGUUUUGCUAGACAAAAAUCCCUAUUCAUCUUUCAAGGUCUAGCUCAAGUGUUGCAUAACUGUUGUUCAAGUUACUGAGGCUGUGUAACAAACAACCUCAAGACUCAGGUGCCUAGAACAAGCCCAGAUUCUAUCAGUCAGAGACUUGGACAGGACACAGCAGAAAUGCUUGUAUCCGCUCUGUCAUGUGUGGCAUUUCAGAUGCAAAGAUCCAAAGGCUGGAGGUGACCCAAAGGCUGUUGGUUGGAAUCAACUGGAAACAUCAUUACUCACAUGUCUGGUGGUUGAUACUGGUUGUAGGCUGGGACCUCAGCUGGGGUUCUGAUUUGAGAACCUUCAUGUGGCCUCUCCAUGUGGUCGGGCUUCCUCACAGUACGGGGGUCUUCGGGUAUUCAGAUUUUAUACAUGGUGGCUCGGGGCUCCUCAGUAAGUGAAGCAGAUGCCACAUGAUCUUGUAAGAAAGGAAAACUUUUCCUCCAUCCUCUUAGGUUCUGCAGCUUAAUUUGUGAAUUAAACUGACAAAAGAAGGACCAACGAAUGAAGAGCAUACAAAUUUUAUUUGUUGUUAAUAUUUUUAUAUGCAUGGGAACUGCAGAGAAAGAACUAAAAAAAUCCAAAGAAGUGGUUACACUUAGGAGCUUACCUACCAUUUUAACAAAGUACGAUAAAUUGUGGGGAAGCAACCAAAGAAAAGGGGCUUGGGCUUCUAGGGGCAUUAAAUUGUAGGAAGGUAAAUACAUGGGAGAAACUAUUAUAGAAAAGGGUUAUUUAGUUAGGUUUCUUUAUGUAGAGUAAUCUUGAUGCUGUCUCCUCUUCUUGGUAUGAGAACAAGGGGACACCUUUAUAAUGGAAAUUUAUUCCUUGCUUUUAAGCAGAUAGAGGAAGGGUAAACAGCUCUUCUCGCAUCUUCUUUUUCUCAAUUGCCUUCAGCUUAAAAUAAAAAUUAAAAAUUUAAAAAAUAAAAUUUAUGCAAAAGUAACAUAUAUUAGGGUUGUAUAUUCUGAUACUCUUCAACAUUUUCUGGUCUAGCCUCCAGAGUCAUUCAACAUCAACAUCACUUUCUCUACAUUCUGUUGGUUAUAAAUAAGUCAAAGGACAAAUAAGACAAAAAAGUAUUUGUAUUGUUAAUACUGAGAGGUGACAACGUGCUAGCAGCCCUCACUGGCUCUCAGCAACUGCUCUGGCGGUGCUCCAGGAGCCCUUCAGCCCACCGCUGUGCUGUGGGGGCCCUUCUCUGGGGCUGGCGGAGGCCCGGCGGCUCCCUCUGCUCCCCACCAGGUGUGGAGGGAGAGGUGCAGGUGGGAGCGGGGCUGUGCAUGCUCACGGGCCAGUGCUGGUUCCGGGUGGGUGCAGGCUCAGGAGCCCACACUCGGUGUGGCCGGCCGGUGCCUACUGGGCUGCCCCCUCUGGGCUGCCGGAAUACCCAGGCUAGGUGCCGCAAAGCCUCAGGGCAAGUGUCAUUGAGAGGUGAAGCCAGCUGGGCUUCUGUGUCGGGUGGGGACUUGGAGAACUUUUCUGUUUAGCUAGAGGUUUGUAACCGCAUCAAUCAGCGCUCCGUGUCUAGCUAAUCUGGUGGGGACUUGGAGAACUUUCCUGUCUAGCUAAAGGAUUGUAAAUGCACCAAUCAGCGCUCUGUGUCUAGCGAAAGGUUUGUAAAUGCACCAAUCAGCGCUCUGUCAAAAUGGACCAAUCAGCUAUCUGUAAAACGGCCCAAUCAGCUUUCUGUAAAAUGGACCAAUCAGCUCUCUCUAAAAUGAGCCAAUGAGAGGAUGUGGGUGGGGCCAGAUAAGGGAAUAAAAGCAGGCUGCCCGAGCUAGCAGUGGCAACCGGCUAGGGUCCUCUUCCAGAUUGUGGAAGCUUUGUUCUUUUGCCUUUGGCAAUAAAUCCUGCUGCUGCUCACUCUUUGGGUCUGCACCGUCUUUGGCAGCUGCUGCUCACUCUUUGGGUCUGCGCUAUCUUUAUGAGCUGUAACACCGUGAAGGUCUGCAGCUUCAUUCCUGAAGCCAGUUAGACCACAAACCCACCAGAAGGAAGAAACUCUGGACCCAUCUGAACAUCUGAAUGAACAAACUCUGGACACACCAUCUUUAGGAACUGUAACACUCACCGCAAGCGUCCGUGGCUUCAUUCUUGAAGUCAGUUAGACCAAGAACCCACCAAUUCCGGACACAAUACUAUUGGAUGUAUGUUUGUUUGGUGUUUUCUUUGAAGGCAGAAUCAGAGAGGCUCAGCAAAUGCCAGAACUCAAAUUCAAGCGCAACUCUGCCUGAUGGAAACUCAGGUGAUUUCCACUCUGCCUCCACCUGCAUUCCUCAGCACCCUGCAGUUGGUCCCCAGACUCUAUGCUCCAUGCUGCUUGUGUUUGUUGGUUGGCUGGUUUCGUGUUCAUGUGUUCUGGCUUCUUCAUUUUGGGUCUUUACAUCUUUACAUCUCUAUAGCAGUUCUUCCCAUGUUGUGUAGCAGUUGUCUCUACGUGACAGUCUGUCUUGUGAGGUCGAGCUCCCUGAAGGCAGCAAGCAUGUAAUUGGUAAAUUCUCAUCAGUUAGCCAUGUCUGGAACAUGGUAGGUAUUCAAUAAAGGUUUUUGCUCAU